GGUUAUGGGCCUAUUAAGGUAUAACAUCUUCUGAUGGAUGCUAGAUGAUUAAGUAUCUACUGAAGAAUACCAGGAAGGUAAUCCUAUUGAUGGGUGACGGUAAGGUUUACACCUACUGAUGGGUGCUAGAAAGAGUUUGGGUCAGGCUCGUGACGUUAAACAAGCACUACCUGGGAGGCAACCCAGUUGAUUGAUUUAUUUUUGUUUCUUGUUUUGAUUCUGUUCUAAAUGCAUUAUAGGGGUUUGAUUGUUGAAUGUUUAAGUGGGGAGAGAGACUAAGUGAAUUGAUUGAGUAAGACUGUGUGAAGUGAGUGGAAAAGAUAUGAAAAUCGAGAAAUUUAGAGUAGAAGUUGAGGGGAUUGGAUCAAGAACGCUAAGGGCAAGUUAGGAAGAGGGAUAGUGAGUACCGUGUAUCCUGCUCAGCGCAAGUCUGGCAUUGAGUGUUGGUAUUGCAUACUGUUUUUGGGUUUUAAAACUUUGGGCCCAGCGUGAGUUGGCCCAUUGCACACUUCACUUACCCUAGGUCUCGCCCUAACCUCUCCAUUCGACCCUCACUCAUUUUAGCCACUCUCAAGAACUUCCCAAAGCAUUCUCUCCACUUUUCCCUUCACCCCUCUUCACAAAAACCCUUCGUCCAAGUUUGGGGUUUUGUGAGAGCACAACUAUUUGGGGUUGAUUUUUCAACAUUCACAAAGCAUCUUGCGCACAUUUAAGAAUCUCCAC
rnacentral:lncRNA from 1 species